rnacentral:rRNA from 1 species
AGUGAACGCUGGCGGCAGGCCUAACACAUGCAAGUCGAACGGCAGCACAAGAGAGCUUGCUCUCUGGGUGGCGAGUGGCGGACGGGUGAGGAAUGCAUCGGAAUCUGCCCAUUUGUGGGGGAUAACCUCGGGAAACCGGGACUAAUACCGCAUACGACCUACGGGUGAAAGCAGGGGAUCUUCGGACCUUGCGCAGAUGGAUGAGCCGAUGCCGGAUUAGCUAGUUGGAGGGGUAAAGGCCCACCAAGGCGACGAUCCGUAGCUGGUCUGAGAGGAUGAUCAGCCACACUGGGACUGAGACACGGCCCAGACUCCUACGGGAGGCAGCAGUGGGGAAUAUUGAACAAUGGGCGCAAGCCUGAUCCAGCCAUGCCGCGUGUGUGAAGAAGGCCUUCGGGUUGUAAAGCACUUUUGUUGGGAAAGAAAAGCAGCCGGUUAAUACCCGGUUGUCAUGACGGUACCCAAAGAAUAAGCACCGGCUAACUUCGUG